GACAAAAGCUGUUUCUGAAAUAAUCUGAGUCGCUUGGUAGAUGGAUUAAAAAUGUGAGCCUGGUGAGAAGCUGAUUCCCAUACCAGACAUUACUCCCUGGAGAACUACCUCAUAACUUCAUGAUUUAAUAUUAAUUGUUGUAGACAUAAGCUUAUCAUGUUCAGAAUCAUUAACUUAAAAUUAACCAUUUAUGGAAAUAUUGUGCAUGCCAUAGAAAAUGGAACUUGUUGGUAUCAUAAGAGUUUAUUAGCCAAUAAGAAUGGUUAAAAAUGUAAUGAUAAUUAGUACUAAAAAAGAGAGCAAUAUCUAUGCCGUAAAGAUUCAUACACAAUCAUUGCAUUAUCCACCAUUCAUGUCAAUGAUGAUUGAAAAAAUGACAGUGUAAUACAUAGAUAUUUUUCUCUUCCAAAAAUCUUAGACUUAUGAGAAAUGCACUAAAAUGAAUGUGAAGUUAUGUAUUGAGAAUCAUGUACCUUCAUGUGGCAUGAAAGGUAAUUAUGACGGAGAUAGUAGAAAGAGUAUUCAACGAGGGAAGGAGAAACACAACACACCCCGCGAGGGGAGAGUGGGGCCAAUAAAAAAAAGAAAGUGGCCGCCGAAAACUCUCCCCUCGCAACAACAAACUAAUAAUUUUAUUGAUUUUCUUUUGACCUGCCAAGCAAGCGCACCGGACAUGGCAAAGGUCUAGUAGUAACAAAAUAUAACAAUCAACGUAACAAGUACCUUACGAGUCUACGACUGUAUCAGUAUGCAUAACACGAGGUCUCUCUCACAGACAUAACUUCACACUGUAUAAGAUAAUAAUCUCCUAAAGGAUCGUACCGAUACAAUCGAAAUUAUACAAUCAAUCUCGCGUUAUUUGAACAAUUCCUUCACUAGGUGAAACCAAUUUCUCUGUUCUCGAACUAGAAGCAGAACUACUCAUCCAGAUCCAAUGUAAAAAUACAAAAUCCAUGUCGGUUAACGACGCAAUCAAGACCUGUAAAAAUUCGACAUAUUCAGAUCCAAUAAUAAGACAAGAAAUAAGAACCGGACUCGAAAAUUCGCAGAUCCAAAACUCACCUUAUCAAAAUCAAAACCAGAUCGAAGUAUUCCUCGCCUACGUCAAAUAAAUUUCUUCAUCCCUGAACGAGAACGAUUCCGUGAAAUCGAGAGCGAGAAUUCGAGCGGAUCUUGCAAAGAAUCAUCGCUUAAAACGUGAUCAAGGUUCAAUUCGCGGUGAUUUGACCGAGUCAGAUGGCGCCUAAUAGGGUUUCCCGCGAUGAGGGGGAUAUGAGGGGUUAUGGUGAUUUAUAUAGUGGAGUUUGAUGAAAAAGGUUUAACUCGCUCAUAAUACACCGUUGGUAUAGACGGUGAUAGGAAAUCGCAUCAGUUCAUUUUAAUCAAAUAAAACACUGAAUGGGUAGGUAAUGUAUUUGCGGUCACAAAGAAAGGAAGGUUCUCGAUAAACUAUAUAUUUUUGCCUCACACCGUGAGACGUGUUUCGCGUGUCGUUCUUUGAGGCCAG
rnacentral:lncRNA from 1 species